rnacentral:rRNA from 1 species
UACGAAGGGGGCUAGCGUUGUUCGGAAUCACUGGGCUUAAAGGGCGCGUAGGCGGGCUGACAAGUCUGGGGUGAAAUGCCGCGGCUCAACCGUGGAACUGCCUCAGAUACUGUCGGCCUCGAGGAAGGUAGGGGCAUGCGGAACUGUAGGUGGAGCGGUGAAAUGCGUAGAUAUCGGGAGGAACACCAGUGGCGAAGGCGACUUCCUGGCCUGUUCUUGACGCUGAGGCGCGAAAGCUAGGGGAGCAAACGGG